rnacentral:rRNA from 1 species
GUCCAGACUCCUACGGGAGGCAGCAGUGGGGAAUAUUGCACAAUGGGGGAAACCCUGAUGCAGCGACGCCGCGUGAGUGAAGAAGUAUUUCGGUAUGUAAAGCUCUAUCAGCAGGGAAGAUAAUGACGGUACCUGACUAAGAAGCCCCGGCUAACUACGUGCCAGCAGCCGCGGUAAUACGUAGGGGGCAAGCGUUAUCCGGAUUUACUGGGUGUAAAGGGUGCGCAGGUGGCAGGGCAAGUCAGAUGUGAAAGCCCGGGGCUCAACCCCGGUAUUGCAUUUGAAACUGGCCGGCUAGAGUGCAGGAGAGGUAAGCGGAAUUCCUAGUGUAGCGGUGAAAUGCGUAGAUAUUAGGAGGAACACCAGUGGCGAAGGCGGCUCACUGGACUGUAACUGACGUUGAGGCUCGAAAGCGUGGGGAGCAAACAGGAUUAGAUACCCUAGUAC